GGUUAAGCGACUAAGCGUACACGGUGGAUGCCCUGGCAGUCAGAGGCGAUGAAGGGCGUGCUAAUCUGCGAUAAGCGCCGGUAAGGUGAUAUGAACCGUUAUAACCGGCGAUACCCGAAUGGGGAAACCCAGUGUGACUCGUCACACUAUCAUUAACUGAAUCCAUAGGUUAAUGAGGCGAACCGGGGGAACUGAAACAUCUAAGUACCCCGAGGAAAAGAAAUCAACCGAGAUUCCCCCAGUAGCGGCGAGCGAACGGGGAGGAGCCCAGAGCCUGAAUCAGCAUGUGUGUUAGUGGAAGCGUCUGGAAAGGCGCGCGAUACAGGGUGACAGCCCCGUACACAAAAGCGCAUGUGCUGUGAGCUCGAUGAGUAGGGCGGGACACGUGGUAUCCUGUCUGAAUAUGGGGGGACCAUCCUCCAAGGCUAAAUACUCCUGACUGACCGAUAGUGAACCAGUACCGUGAGGGAAAGGCGAAAAGAACCCCGGCGAGGGGAGUGAAAAAGAACCUGAAACCGUGUACGUACAAGCAGUGGGAGCACCCUUUGGGGUGUGACUGCGUACCUUUUGUAUAAUGGGUCAGCGACUUAUAUUCUGUAGCAAGGUUAACCGAAUAGGGGAGCCGGAGGGAAACCGAGUCUUAAUUGGGCGUUAAGUUGCAGGGUAUAGACCCGAAACCCGGUGAUCUAGCCAUGGGCAGGUUGAAGGUUGGGUAACACUAACUGGAGGACCGAACCGACUAAUGUUGAAAAAUUAGCGGAUGACCUGUGGCUGGGGGUGAAAGGCCAAUCAAACCGGGAGAUAGCUGGUUCUCCCCGAAAGCUAUUUAGGUAGCGCCUCGUGAAUUCAUCUCCGGGGGUAGAGCACUGUUUCGGCUAGGGGGCCAUCCCGGCUUACCAACCCGAUGCAAACUGCGAAUACCGGAGAAUGUUAUCACGGGAGACACACGGCGGGUGCUAACGUCCGUCGUGAAGAGGGAAACAACCCAGACCGCCAGCUAAGGUCCCAAAGUCAUGGUUAAGUGGGAAACGAUGUGGGAAGGCCCAGACAGCCAGGAUGUUGGCUUAGAAGCAGCCAUCAUUUAAAGAAAGCGUAAUAGCUCACUGGUCGAGUCGGCCUGCGCGGAAGAUGUAACGGGGCUAAACCAUGCACCGAAGCUGCGGCAGCGAACGUAUCACUUAAAGCGAUUCAGCGGGUUACGAUUGACGGAGCGAAGCGACGUCAAAGCGUAUACAAAGUCGAGUCGGUUUAAGGAUACGUUCGUUGGGUAGGGGAGCGUUCUGUAAGCCUGUGAAGGUGGCCUGUGAGGGUUGCUGGAGGUAUCAGAAGUGCGAAUGCUGACAUAAGUAACGAUAAAGCGGGUGAAAAGCCCGCUCGCCGGAAGACCAAGGGUUCCUGUCCAACGUUAAUCGGGGCAGGGUGAGUCGACCCCUAAGGCGAGGCCGAAAGGCGUAGUCGAUGGGAAACGGGUUAAUAUUCCCGUACUUGGUGUUACUGCGAAGGGGGGACGGAGAAGGCUAUGUUGGCCGGGCGACGGUUGUCCCGGUUUAAGCGUGUAGGUGUGUGUUCCAGGUAAAUCCGGUUCACUUUAACACUGAGGCGUGACGACGAGGCACUACGGUGCUGAAGCAACAAAUGCCCUGCUUCCAGGAAAAGCCUCUAAGCAUCAGGUAACAUCAAAUCGUACCCCAAACCGACACAGGUGGUCAGGUAGAGAAUACCAAGGCGCUUGAGAGAACUCGGGUGAAGGAACUAGGCAAAAUGGUGCCGUAACUUCGGGAGAAGGCACGCUGACAUGUAGGUGAAGUGAUUUACUCAUGGAGCUGAAGUCAGUCGAAGAUACCAGCUGGCUGCAACUGUUUAUUAAAAACACAGCACUGUGCAAACACGAAAGUGGACGUAUACGGUGUGACGCCUGCCCGGUGCCGGAAGGUUAAUUGAUGGGGUCAGCGCAAGCGAAGCUCCUGAUCGAAGCCCCGGUAAACGGCGGCCGUAACUAUAACGGUCCUAAGGUAGCGAAAUUCCUUGUCGGGUAAGUUCCGACCUGCACGAAUGGCGUAAUGAUGGCCAGGCUGUCUCCACCCGAGACUCAGUGAAAUUGAACUCGCUGUGAAGAUGCAGUGUACCCGCGGCAAGACGGAAAGACCCCGUGAACCUUUACUAUAGCUUGACACUGAACAUUGAGCCUUGAUGUGUAGGAUAGGUGGGAGGCUUUGAAGCGUGGACGCCAGUCUGCGUGGAGCCGACCUUGAAAUACCACCCUUUAAUGUUUGAUGUUCUAACGUGGACCCGUAAUCCGGGUUGCGGACAGUGUCUGGUGGGUAGUUUGACUGGGGCGGUCUCCUCCUAAAGAGUAACGGAGGAGCACGAAGGUUGGCUAAUCCUGGUCGGACAUCAGGAGGUUAGUGCAAUGGCAUAAGCCAGCUUGACUGCGAGCGUGACGGCGCGAGCAGGUGCGAAAGCAGGUCAUAGUGAUCCGGUGGUUCUGAAUGGAAGGGCCAUCGCUCAACGGAUAAAAGGUACUCCGGGGAUAACAGGCUGAUACCGCCCAAGAGUUCAUAUCGACGGCGGUGUUUGGCACCUCGAUGUCGGCUCAUCACAUCCUGGGGCUGAAGUAGGUCCCAAGGGUAUGGCUGUUCGCCAUUUAAAGUGGUACGCGAGCUGGGUUUAGAACGUCGUGAGACAGUUCGGUCCCUAUCUGCCGUGGGCGCUGGAGAACUGAGGGGGGCUGCUCCUAGUACGAGAGGACCGGAGUGGACGCAUCACUGGUGUUCGGGUUGUCAUGCCAAUGGCACUGCCCGGUAGCUAAAUGCGGAAGAGAUAAGUGCUGAAAGCAUCUAAGCACGAAACUUGCCCCGAGAUGAGUUCUCCCUGAGACUUAGAGUCUCCUGAAGGAACGUUGAAGACGACGACGUUGAUAGGCCGGGUGUGUAAGCGCAGCGAUGCGUUGAGCUAACCGGUACUAAUGAACCGUGAGGCUUAACCUU
rnacentral:rRNA from 1 species